GAUCAGAUAACUUUCCCGUGCGGCGCUUCAUCACCGAGACAGAAGUCUUGAAGAAGACGUGAAGAGCCGUGUGUAUAGGGUCGACGGGAAGUUGAUGACGCGGAUCUACACGGAGCAGAUCUAUUAAAUGAGCUCGAGCGAAACGGACGGAGGGUGAGAAGCGGAAUAAGCUAACCCGAACAUAUGACAUCGUCGUCGUCGUCGUCGCCGUCGCCGUCGGUUGCCUCCCGAUAUCAAGGCAACGCGACGUCAACGCGAAAAAGCAGCUGACCGUAAAAAGACAAUAAGAAGUAUCAACGUAUUACCAAUAACAUCGGCGGAAAUCGAGAUACGAGAUAACUAAGAAAUAAGAAGAAAGCAUGUGCGAGAGAGGAAAAGAGACAAAAGACGCACGGAAGAGAACGAGGGAGCGGAUGCUGUAACGAGAGGCACGAGAAACGAGGCGAGCGAUGAGCGUGAGAAGAAGGAAGAUCAAUAAUCAACGGGCCAACGUAGAAAAUCAAUGCCGGGCGAAAUGCAUCCGGUGUAUCGGGAAAAUAGAAGCUACACGGAUCUCCAAAUGGAAACAAAUGGAGCUAAAUCGCACGAGUGCCGUGCCGAGCGAGUAGAGAGACUGCGGAUGUGUAUUCAGAUGCGGCAAUAUACGAGAGGGAAGAGAGAGAGAGAGAGAGAGAGAGAGAGAAAAGAGGCCGGAUGUUGGCCGUUACGUCUUGCUCGUCUAUUUUACUGAGCAAAUUUGCAUAUACAUGAUAACGAUGCCGUGACUUUUGCUCAUAUUUAACACGUCGACGAACAGCAAUGGCUAUAACCGUUAUAGCGAAGUUUAUUUUGCCAUGUAUCCGCCUGUACCAAACUAUGUUCCCCUGAUUUUGGCACCACGCUUAUGCUUCCCAUUUCUUCGCUGACUUUUUUGUCUACACCAAAAUUAAAAAUAAAUAAUAUUUGAUAUCUUUCUGAUUUUUUUAAUUUUAAUUUUUUGAUUUUAAUUUUUUUAAUUAAUAUUUAGUAAUAAAGUACUAUUUUAAAGUAAUGAAUGACGAUCUAC